rnacentral:rRNA from 1 species
AUUGAACGCUGGCGGCGGGCCUAACACAUGCAAGUCGAGCGGAUGAAGGGAGCUUGCUCCUGGAUUCAGCGGCGGACGGGUGAGUAAUGCCUAGGAAUCUGCCUGGUAGUGGGGGAUAACGUCCGGAAACGGGCGCUAAUACUGCAUACGUCCUGAGGGAGAAAGUGGGGGAUCUUCGGACCUCACGCUAUCAGAUGAGCCUAGGUCGGAUUAGCUAGUUGGUGGGGUAAAGGCCUACCAAGGCGACGAUCCGUAACUGGUCUGAGAGGAUGAUCAGUCACACUGGAACUGAGACACGGUCCAGACUCCUACGGGAGGCAGCAGUGGGGAAUAUUGGACAAUGGGCGAAAGCCUGAUCCAGCCAUGCCGCGUGUGUGAAGAAGGUCUUCGGAUUGUAAAGCACUUUAAGUUGGGAGGAAGGGCAGUAAGUUAAUACCUUGCUGUUUUGACGUUACCAACAGAAUAAGCACCGGCUAACUUCGUG